rnacentral:rRNA from 1 species
ACCCGCUGAACUUAAGCAUAUCAAUAAGCGGAGGAAAAGAAACCAACAGGGAUUGCCCUAGUAACGGCGAGUGAAGCGGCAACAGCUCAAAUUUGAAAUCUGGCGUCUUUGGCGUCCGAGUUGUAAUUUGCAGAGGGCGCUUUGGCAUUGGCAGCGGUCCAAGUUCCUUGGAACAGGACGUCACAGAGGGUGAGAAUCCCGUACGUGGUCGCUAGCCUUUACCGUGCAAAGCCCCUUCGACGAGUCGAGUUGUUUGGGAAUGCAGCUCUAAAUGGGAGGUAAAUUUCUUCUAAAGCUAAAUACUGGCCAGAGACCGAUAGCGCACAAGUAGAGUGAUCGAAAGAUGAAAAGCACUUUGGAAAGAGAGUUAAAAAGCACGUGAAAUUGUUGAAAGGGAAGCGCUUGCAGCCAGACUUGCCUGUAGUUGCUCAUCCGGGUUUUUACCCGGUGCACUCUUCUAUAGGCAGGCCAGCAUCAGUUUGGGCGGUUGGAUAAAGGUCUCUGUCACGUACCUCCUCUCGGGGAGAACUUAUAGGGGAGACGUAAUGCAACCAGCCUGGACUGAGGUCCGCGCAUCUGCUAGGAUGCUGGCGUAAUGGCUGUAAGCGGCCCGUCUUGAAACACGGACCAAGGAGUCUAACAUCUAUGCGAGUGUUUGGGUGUCAAGCCCGAGCGCGUAAUGAAAGUGAACGGAGGUGGGAACCUUUCGGGGUGCACCAUCGACCGAUCCUGAUGUCUUCGGAUGGAUUUGAGUAAGAGCAUAGCUGUUGGGACCCGAAAGAUGGUGAACUAUGCUUGAAUAGGGUGAAGCCAGAGGAAACUCUGGUGGAGGCUCGCAGCGGUUCUGACGUGCAAAUCGAUCGUCAAAUUUGGGCAUAGGGGCGAAAGACUAAUCGAACUAUCUAGUA